CAAGGUACGAACGCCCCGCAAGGGGAGUGGCAGACGGGUGAGUAACGCGUGGGAACAUACCCUUUCCUGCGGAAUAGCUCCGGGAAACUGGAAUUAAUACCGCAUACGCCCUACGGGGGAAAGAUUUAUCGGGGAAGGAUUGGCCCGCGUUGGAUUAGCUAGUUGGUGGGGUAAAGGCCUACCAAGGCGACGAUCCAUAGCUGGUCUGAGAGGAUGAUCAGCCACAUUGGGACUGAGACACGGCCCAAACUCCUACGGGAGGCAGCAGUGGGGAAUAUUGGACAAUGGGCGCAAGCCUGAUCCAGCCAUGCCGCGUGAGUGAUGAAGGCCUUAGGGUUGUAAAGCUCUUUCACCGAUGAAGAUAAUGACGGUAGUCGGAGAAGAAGCCCCGGCUAACUUCGUGCCAGCAGCCGCGGUAAUACGAAGGGGGCUAGCGUUGUUCGGAAUUACUGGGCGUAAAGCGCACGUAGGCGGAUAUUUAAGUCAGGGGUGAAAUCCCGCAGCUCAACUGCGGAACUGCCUUUGAUACUGGGUAUCUUGAGUAUGGAAG
rnacentral:rRNA from 1 species